UAGUCAUAUGCUUGUCUCAAAGAUUAAGCCAUGCAUGUCUAAGUAUAAGCUUUUAUACGGUGAAACUGCGAAUGGCUCAUUAAAACAGUUAUAGUUUAUUUGAUGGUCUCAUUUUACAUGGAUAACCAUGGUAAUUCUAUGGCUAAUACAUGCGCAAAGGUCACCUCCUUUGGAGGGGCUGUGUUUAUUAGAUACAAAACCAACCCACUUUGUAGUGGAGUCUUGGUGAUUCAUAGUAACCGAACGGAUCGCAGUUGGUUCUUUUGGGCCCGCGAUGGAUCAUUCAAGUUUCUGACCUAUCAGCUUUCGACGGUAGGGUAUUGGCCUACCGUGGCAGUGACGGGUAACGGGGAAUUAGGGUUCGAUUCCGGAGAGGGAGCCUGAGAAACGGCUACCACAUCUAAGGAAGGCAGCAGGCGCGCAAAUUACCCAAUGAAAACAGCUUCGAGGUAGUGACGAGAAAUAACAAUACAGGGCAUUUUAUGCUUUGUAAUUGGAAUGAUGGGAAUGUAAAACCCUUCCAGAGUAACAAUUGGAGGGCAAGUCUGGUGCCAGCAGCCGCGGUAAUUCCAGCUCCAAUAGUGUAUAUUA